AAGAAACAACAAAAUACGAUGCAUUACAUUUACAUUUAUGCAUUUGGCAGACGCUUUUAUCAAAGCGACUUACAGAGACUUUAUUACAGGGACAAUCCCCCCGGAGCAACCUGGAGUUAAGUGCCUUGCUCAAGGACACAAUGGUGGUGGCUGUGGGGAUCGAACCAGCAACCUUCUGAUUACCAGUUUACCAGUUAUGUGCUUUAGACCACUACACCAUCACCACUCCAGUACAGCAUUACACUCUAGAUGAUAAACUGACAGAUGAGUGAGGACCCGGUGCGUACCUGGGCAUUGAGGUCCUGGUCCAGACCCAGUCUGCCACUGAAGCUGGAUUUGUGCGAGUGAAGAGACGAGUGGCCAAGCCAGCUGAGUGUUCGAUACGGAGUGGACAGCGUCUCUUCAGCCGGCAAGGAAGGCCUGGAUAAACAGAGACACUUACUGAACUGCACUGAAGCAUUUGAGGAGUGUGGACCCUGAUGUACAAGAAGUCACCCUGCAGUUUCUUGAAGCCAGGGGGCGGGUUCCAACAGCUGAGUGACAGGUCGAGCAGACAGCAAUGAGAUCUGAGAUUGAGAGCUAUGAAAGAGAAGCAUCGGAGCAAGUUUCCACUGGAAAAAUGAAAAACAAAGUGUUAUAUUCCCAUACUUCGCUGUGUGUGUUAGUGGGCAGCAGGGUCGUCAGCGGAGG